rnacentral:misc_RNA from 1 species
UACGUAGGGUGCGAGCGUUGUCCGGAAUUAUUGGGCGUAAAGAGCUCGUAGGCGGUGUGUCACGUCUGCCGUGAAAACCUCAGGCUUAACUUGGGGCGGGCGGUGGAUACGGGCAUCACUUGAGUUCGGUAGGGGAGACUGGAAUUCCUGGUGUAGCGGUGGAAUGCGCAGAUAUCAGGAGGAACACCGGUGGCGAAGGCGGGUCUCUGGGCCGAUACUGACGCUGAGGAGCGAAAGCGUGGGGAGCGAACAGG